rnacentral:snoRNA from 1 species
CCUAUGGAUGAUGAAGAAUUUGCCUCCCACAUCUGCAACGGCCUUGACUUGGAGUACAACCCGAUGGUGACAGCAGUUGCCGCAAGAGUUGAGCCGAUCUCGACCCCUGAGCUCUACUCUCAACUGCUCAGUUUCGAGA